GAUCCUGGCUCAGGAUGAACGCUAGCGACAGGCUUAACACAUGCAAGUCGAGGGGCAGCACAGGUAGCAAUACCGGGUGGCGACCGGCGCACGGGUGAGUAACGCGUAUGCAACUUGCCUAUCAGAGGGGGAUAACCCGGCGAAAGUCGGACUAAUACCGCAUGAAGCACGGGGCCCCGCAGUGGGGAUAUUUGCUAAAGAUUCAUCGCUGAUAGAUAGGCAUGCGUUCCA
rnacentral:rRNA from 1 species